GGCAAUGUAGCCUAGUGGUAUGGUGCAGGGCUUGAAACCAAAAGGUUGUCGGUUUGAUUCCCUGCUGGGGCA